rnacentral:rRNA from 1 species
GACGAACGCUGGCGGCGUGCUUAACACAUGCAAGUCGAGCGGUAAGGCCCUUUCGGGGGUACGACGAGCGGCGAACGGGUGAGUAACACGUGGGUGACCUGCCCUCAGCUCUGGGAUAAGCCUGGGAAACCGGGUCUAAUACCGGAUAUGACUCCAUGACGCAUGUUGUGGGGUGGAAAGCCUUGCGCGGCUGAGGAUGGGCCCGCGGCCUAUCAGCUUGUUGGU